UUGACCUCAGUUCAGACAAGG
rnacentral:rRNA from 1 species